GGGCCCUUAGCUCAGUCGGUAGAGCAACUGACUUUUAAUCAGUAGGUCGCUGGUUCGAGCCCAGCAGGGCUCACCA
rnacentral:tRNA from 6 species